GGGUGCGAUCAAACUAGCACUAAUGCACCGGAUCCCAUCAGAACUCCGCAGUUAAGCGUGCUUCGGUGAGAGUAGUACUAGGAUGGGUAACCUCUUGGGAAGCCUUCGUGUUGCACCCU
rfam:Corchorus capsularis cultivar CVL-1 contig15105, whole genome shotgun sequence.